UACGGAAGGGGGCUAGCGUUGCUCGGAAUCACUGGGCGUAAAGCGCACGUAGGCGGCUUUUUAAGUCAGAGGUGAAAUCCUGGAGCUUAACUCCAGAACUGCCUUCGAUACUGGAAGACUUGAGUCCGGGAGAGGUGAGUGGAACUGCGAGUGUAGAGGUGAAAUUCGUAGAUAUUCGCAAGAACACCAGUGGCGAAGGCGGCUCACUGGCCCGGUACUGACGCUGAGGUGCGAAAGCGUGGGGAGCAAACAGGG
rnacentral:rRNA from 1 species